ACCUGUACGGUGGGCGGCGCGUCCUCAGCGCAUGCGAUGGUGAAGGCGGCCUCCUUCCCGACGUGCGCGUGCGCCAGCCCCGUGCCGGCGCAGACUCAUGGUGAUAUAAUUAGUAUGUAGGUACCUGUACGGUGGGCGGCGCGUCCUCAGCGCAUGCGAUGGUGAAGGCGGCCUCCUUCCCGACGUGCGCGUGCGCCAGCCCCGUGCCGGCGCAGACUCAUGGUGAUAUAAUUAGUAUGUAGGUACCUGUACGGUGGGCGGCGCGUCCUCAGCGCAUGCGAUGGUGAAGGCGGCCUCCUUCCCGACGUGCGCGUGCGCCAGCCCCGUGCCGGCGCAGACUCAUGGUGAUAUAAUUAGUAUGUAGGUACCUGUACGGUGGGCGGCGCGUCCUCAGCGCAUGCGAUGGUGAAGGCGGCCUCCUUCCCGACGUGCGCGUGCGCCAGCCCCGUGCCGGCGCAGACUCAUGGUGAUAUAAUUAGUAUGUAGGUACCUGUACGGUGGGCG